rnacentral:tRNA from 1 species
CGGGGUGUAGCGCAGCCUGGUAGCGCAUCUGCUUUGGGAGCAGAGGGUCGGCGGUUCGAAUCCGUCCGCCCCGACCA